rnacentral:rRNA from 1 species
UGGUCAAGUUAUUAAGGGUGCAGGGCGGAUGCCUUGGCACUAGGAGCCGAUGAAGGACGUGAUAAGCUGCGAUAAGCUUCGGGGAGUUGCACGUAAACUUUGAUCCGAAGAUUUCCGAAUGAGGAAACUCACUUAGAGUAAUGUCUAAGUAUCAUUAAGUGAAUACAUAGCUUAAUGAGGGGAACUCAGGGAACUGAAACAUCUAAGUACCUGAAGGAAGAGGAAGAAAUUCGAUUCCGUAAGUAGCGGCGAGCGAACGCGGAUUAGCCCAAACCAAUAAAGUUUUCUUUAUUGGGGUUGCGGACAUAUCAUAACGAAGAGGUAUCGUAAUUGAAGAGGUUUGGA